rnacentral:rRNA from 1 species
GCCGAUAGGUGUAGGCGCAGCGAAAGCGAGUCUGAAUAGGGCGACUGAGUUUGAUGCAUUAGACCCGAAACCCGGCGAUCUAGGCAUGACCAGGCUGAAGGUGCGGUAACACGCACUGGAGGGCCGAACCGAUUAACGUUGAAAAGUUACCGGAUGAGUUGUGUUUAGGGGUGAAAGGCCAAUCAAGCCGGGAAAUAGCUGGUUCUCCGCGAAAACUAUUGAGGUAGUGCCUCGGACGAAUACCAUUGGGGGUAGAGCACUGGAUGGAUGCGGGGGUCGCGAGAUCUACCAAUUCUAACCAAACUCCGAAUACCAAUGAGUACUAUCCGGGAGACAGACGGCGGGUGCUAAGGUCCGUCGUCAAAAGGGAAACAGCCCUGACCUACAGCUAAGGUCCCCAAGUCACGUCUAAGUGGGAAAGCAUGUGGGGAUUUCCAAAACAACCAGGAUGUUGGCUUAGAAGCAGCCAUCAUUUAAAGAAAGCGUAACAGCUCACUGGUCUAAAUAAGAGAUCCUGCGGCGAAGAUGUAACGGGG